UACGGGGGGGGCAAGCGUUGUUCGGAAUUACUGGGCGUAAAGGGUUUGUAGGUGGCCGGCUAAGUCAGACGUGAAAUCCCUCAGCUUAACUGGGGAACUGCGUCUGAAACUGAUCGGCUCGAGUGCAGGAGAGGAACGCGGAAUUCCAGGUGUAGCGGUGAAAUGCGUAGAUAUCUGGAGGAACACCGGUGGCGAAGGCGGCGUUCUGGACUGCAACUGACACUGUAAAACGAAAGCCGGGGGAGCAAACGGG
rnacentral:rRNA from 1 species